ACAGAUGGAAGCUGGUGAGGAAAAGAUGGAUCCAGAUUGGGCUCCCUGGGCUACGUGUGAAAACAGAUGGGAGGGGGCCUGAGUGGAUGUGGGGUGGUAAGGAGAAGGGUCUGUGCUUCUGAAAUGCGGUGCAGCCCCUUACCCAAGGAGAGGAGGAAGGACCAUGAGAAGCCCUGACUCCGAGCACACUUCUGACUCUUCUGUCUUCUGGCCAGCCUCCAGGUGCAUCCUCUGGCAUUUUUAAAUCAGCUUCCCACCUUCAUAGUAACCCAGUUGGGUUCCUUCCACCCUCCCUUGCAAACAUCUUCCUCUUGGCCAAUAUUCACAUAAUUGCUACCUGUUCCAAAAAUGGGGCCAUGCAUUUUGCCUCUAUUUAUCUCACCAAAUCCUUGCAAGAACCUCUUGCAAUAAGCCCCAGUCACACCUUGGUGUUAGAGACACAGAAACUGAGCUCAGAGGGAUGUCAUAGCAUGCCUUAGGUCACAUAGCUGGCAAGUAGCCUAGCCUAGUGUUUUUGUUUGUUUUGUUUUGUUUGUUUGUUUUGCUUUUUAGGGCCACAUCUGUGGCAUAUGGAAGUUCCCAGGCUAGGGGUCAAAUAAUCUGCCAGCCUGUGCCACAGCCGCAGCAACUCAGGAUCCAAGCGGCAUCUGCAACCUACACCACAGCUCAUGGCAAUGCCAGAUCCUUAACCCACUGAGCAAGGCCAGGGGUCGAACCUGCAUCCUGUCAAAUUGUCCCUUAGGGUGGUGGUACCCAAUUUCCUCUCCCCAGCAGUGUAUGAGAGUUGGGUUUGUUGAAUCCUAGUUGGGUUUGUUAACUGUUGAGCCAUGAAGGGAACUCCCCAGCCUAGAUUUGAACCCAAGUCUCUCUGACCCCCUGGUCACAUUAUCUUCUAAGAACACUCAGUGAAGACCAAGCAGGCAAUCCGUGUAUUGGGACUGCACCUCUUUUGUGGGUUCAGCAUGACCCCUUUUUUUCUGAGUAUUUGGGUCCAAUCAUCCCCUUUAUUCAUUCAACAAACCUUCCCCAAGCCAGGCCCUAUGCAGAUGGGGCUGCCAUGGUGGCUCAGACAAGGUUAGUGACCCAGAGGAGCUCACAGUCAGCUCAGGGAAGAGAUAGACCCAUUGUCAGGUGCCACAAUCCACGAUGUGAUAAACAAGGACAGUGGGGUGGGCCGGUGCCAUGGGAACCCUCUGCUUGAGAGUCAUGAAGACCUAGCAGGACCUUCUCAUGGGCUGAAAUAUCAGAGCUGGAUUUGGACCCACAGAGAUGGCGAGGAAGGGACAGGAAGAGUGAACGGUUUCUGAAGACAUGUCAGAGGUGGGGGGUUUGGAAGACCUGGCUGCAUGGUGGGGCUUGGGUGGCAGAGUCUCAGCUGGCUGGCACGAGGAUGUGAAGGGCCCCGUGGAAACUGGGGAGCAGGCUAUUUGUGUUCUUAAGAUUUACUGAGCACCUCACCAUGAGUCAGGCUUCAUGUCGAGACCUUCACAGACAUGACAACUGCAUCCUUUAAAUAAGGAAGCUGAAGUUUAGAGUUGGACUGGAUUUUUAUGUGGACUCUAUCUUUUACACCACCGUGCUUGCUCUGCACCUUUAAAAAUGUUCUGAAAAGUCAAAGACACACCCAGGUACUUCUCCCCCAAGUCAAGAAAUAAAACCUUACAGAGUUCCCAGGGUGGCACAGUAGUAACCAACACGAUCAGUAUCCAUGAGGACCGGGCUUCGAUCCCUGGGCUCGUUCAGUGGGUUAAGGAUCUGGUGUUGCUGCGAGCUGUGGUGUAGGUUGCAGACGAGACCUUCAGCGAAAGAAAGAAGGAAAGAAGGAAAGGAAAGAAGGAAGGAAGGAAGGAAGAAAAGAAGGAAGGAAGGA
ensembl:lncRNA